CUGUUGUAUUUGAAUUAUCUUAAUAGUGAUGGUGAUGCAAUCAGACUCAUUGUUCAAAGUUGCUUGCUUUGAGGGUUUUGUUCUGUGGUGUGGGUUGUUUGUAGUAUUACUAUAUAUCGUUGUCCAUGGAACAAUGGAAUAAGAGUAUGACCAUCUUUAUUGCUGAGCACUUACAUAAGGGUUUUCUUCUCUCUCUCUCUCUCUUACACACACACACACACGAAGUGAAACUGGCAUUUUAUAUUGGCCUCACUUUUGAAAUUGAAAAUAAGCCACAUUUAAGAUUUGCAUUUGUGAUAUGCUGACUAGAUACGAGAUCUCUGAUUAACAUAUAUGCAACAUCUGCCUAAGGAACAAUAUACAGGGUAAGAAAUUAUGGAUUCAAACAUAUAAAUAAAAAAAAGUCAGAAGAAAAUAAAGAUUCAAAAGUAAACAUUCUCUCUAAAUUUUGGAUCUAGGAUCUUUCCGCAUGUGCUUGAGGGACUUUCCGUUUAAUCUGUUUUCAAUGUAUCAAUUGCAAACCAGUUAGAACCAAUCUAAGUUUUAUAUGUUUCUUUAAAAUACUAGGUGCUCAUAGAUGCUGAAAAUCUUACAGGAUUUUAUAUUGGUGACCGUGUUUUGCUACCAUUCUCGUGCCAAUGAAAUAUCGGCCUGGGACAUUUUAGUAGCUUUGUGGCGCUAACAGAGAAUGGAUUUAAUAUGGCGCUCUGAAUCAAGUCGCUACAGGUAGGCAGUUGCUGUCUCAAAGGUUCCUCUUUUCCUCAGCUGAAAUUGUUUGGUUGUGAUGGGUUAACAACUCUUGAGGGGCGAAUCUCUGUUGUAGCGUUUCACUGGAAGUAUUGCUGAUGGCGAAGAAGUGUGUACCUUAUUUUGUGCGACUUGCUUAGUAGCAUGCAAGGCAAUCGAUCUUCCGUUUUCAUUGGCUGAGAGUCCUUUUUCUUUUUUGCUUGUUGAGAAUAUUCAUUGUUAACUAGGGGCGAAUAGCUUGGACCUUGCUGUAUUUAUUUGUAUUCUUCACGAACUGCGCGGAAAAAUGGACUUUAUUAUUCUUUAUCCAGUGUUUCACGUUUAUGUGAUUUUUGGAUGUUCGUUAAUUUGAGAUAUCUUGUGAUUAACAAUUUUGUGAGGAAUUC
rnacentral:lncRNA from 1 species